CCAGGUUAGGUAGGCUACCCGCUGAGUUUAAGCAUAUCAAUAAGCGGAGG
rnacentral:rRNA from 1 species